GGAGCAGGCCCCGGGCCGGAGCUGCAGCCUGUGGAGAGGAGCCCACAGUGCAGUGAAAGAAAAUCAUGAUGAGGAAGGAGUAGCAGAUACGAACUGUUAUGGACUGACCACAGCUCCCAUUCCCCAGUGCCACUCAGGGAGGUGGAGGAGGUGUGAAGGCAUGAAGUUAUCUCUGUAGAAGCAAGAUGCCAUGAUGCUGAUCUUAAGAAGGGCAGAGGGAAGGAAGUGCCUGUCACGACCGAUUAUUGUUGUGGAGUGCAAAGGAACUCAUGGUCACAGAAGGACAGCUAAGACCGGUUCUGGAAAGACCUGGAAAGCAAUAACUUACUCAGGAACCUGAAUUUCACCUGAAAUUAUUCAGCUAUUGCAGUGAGUAAUUACAAAUUAUCUAGACACUAUUUAAAACAUUCAGCCGUAUAUUGCAUCAUAGAGGGGUACUGUGGAGUGUAGACUGUUUUCCCAUGUGAGUUGUUUUUUUCCUUUUUUUUUUUUUUUUCUCCUGCCAAG